CUUGCGGACAUACCAUGUUGAAACACCGGUUCUUGUACGAUCACCAAAGUUAAGCAACGUUGAGUCUAGUCAGUACUUAAAUGGAUGACUGCUUGUGAAUACAGGUACUGG